AGCAGCCGCCACGGUAAUACGAGGGGGGCAAGCGUUGUUCGGAAUUAUUGGGCGUAAAGGGUGCGUAGGCGGUUUGGCAAGUUUGGUGUGAAAUCUUCGGGCUCAACUCGAAGUCUGCAUCGAAAACUGCCGGGCUUGAGUAUGGGAGAGGUGAGUGGAAUUUCCGGUGUAGCGGUGAAAUGCGUAGAUAUCGGAAGGAACACCUGUGGCGAAAGCGGCUCACUGGACCAUAACUGACGCUGAUGCACGAAAGCUAGGGGAGCAAACAGGAUUAGAUACCCCCGUAGUCCCUGUCUCUUAUAA
rnacentral:rRNA from 1 species